CACUUCUUUCUUUUCUUCUUCUUUCUUUUCUUCUCCGUUUUUGGUUAAUUUAGGGAGUGCUGAUUUGGGAGCGGGGGAAGAGUAAGUCUGGGGUCUUUUUCUUGAAGAAGGAGAAGAA
rnacentral:ribozyme from 13 species